rnacentral:rRNA from 1 species
GAUGAACGCUGGCGGCGUGCUUAACACAUGCAAGUCGAACGAAGCUGCUUAAAGGAAGUUUUCGGAUGGAAUUUAGGUAGACUUAGUGGCGGACGGGUGAGUAACGCGUGGAUAACCUGCCUUAUACAGGGGGAUAACGGAGAGAAAUUUCCGCUAACACCGCAUAAGACCACAGCACCGCAUGGUGCAGGGGUAAAAUAUUUAUAGGUAUAAGAUGGAUCCGCGUCCGAUUAGCUGGUUGGUGAGGUAGAGGCUCACCAAGGCGACGAUCGGUAGCCGGCCUGAGAGGGUGAGCGGCCACAUUGGGACUGAGACACGGCCCAAACUCCUACGGGAGGCAGCAGUGGGGAAUAUUGGACAAUGGGGGAAACCCUGAUCCAGCGACGCCGCGUGAGUGAAGAAGUAUUUCGGUAUGUAAAGCUCUAUCAGCAGGGAAGAAAAUGACG